rnacentral:rRNA from 1 species
GACGAACGCUGGCGGCGUGCCUAACACAUGCAAGUGGAGCGACGAACCGGACUUCGGUCCGGGGCCAAGCCGCGAACGGGUGAGUAACACGUGGGUAACCUGCCCCGAUGACCGGGACAACCCGAGGAAACUCGGGCUAAUACCGGAUGUGCCCUAUGGUCGCAAGACCGCUGGGGAAAGGAAGCUUCGGCCUCCGCAUCGGGAUGGGCCCGCGGCCCAUUAGCUUGUUGGUGAGGUAAUGGCUCACCAAGGCAACGAUGGGUAGCUGGUCUGAGAG